UGGGCGAAAGCCUGAUGCAGCAACGCCGCGUGAGCGACGAAGGCCUUUGGGUCGCAAAGCUCUGUCCUUGGGGAUGAAAAAAAUGACGGUACCCUUGGAGGAAGCCCCGGCUAACUACGUGCCAGCAGCCGCGGCAAUACGUAGGGGGCAAGCGUUAUCCGGAUUUACUGGGUGUAAAGGGUGCUCAGGCGGAUUGGUAAGUCAGAGGUGAAAUCUUACAGCUUAACUGUGAAACUGCCUUUGAUACUGCAAGCCUAGAGUAUGGAAGCGAGUGAGGGAAUGACUGGUGUAGCAGGGAAAUGCGUAGAUAUCAGAUAGAACACCAAUGGCGAAGGCAGUCACUUGGUCCAUUACUGACGCUAAAGCACGAAAGCGUGGG
rnacentral:rRNA from 1 species